AUUAAAAAUGAUUUAAUAUUCCCAAAUUCAGAUUAACUUGGUAUUGAAGACCUAGGUGACAUUUCAUAAAUCAUUUAAUCCUACGUGCAUAAUAUCACACGCAAGGUAACAAACCGAAAGUAUCCAAAGCUGAAAGAGGUGGAUGAUGUGCUUGGGGGAGCAGCUGCCUGGGAGAACGUGGACUCCACUGCAGAGCAAUGCCUUCUCAAUCCCAGGCUUGCACCACACUGUCAAGUUGAUAAUUGACUUGAAUACUUACUCCUUCCUCUGCUGUCCAGUGCUGGGAAGACAGUUCUGCAGCUCCUUCCAGGCUGGGCCUUGACUGAAUACAGUGACCUAUGAUGAUUUACAUAUCGACUUCACUUGGAAAGAAUGGGCUUUGCUGGAUCCUUCCCAGAAAAAUCUCUACAAAGAUGUGAUGCUGGAGACCUACAGGAAUCUCGCUACUAUAGGAUACAAUUGGGAAGACCAUAGAAUUGAGGAAUAUUAUCAGAAUUCUAGAAGACA